CCGCGGUAAUAAGGAGGAUGCGAGCGUUAUCCGGAUUUAUUGGGUUUAAAGGGUGCGUAGGCGGGCUUUUAAGUCAGCGGUGAAACGCAAGGGCUCAACCCUUGACCUGCCGUUGAAACUGGAGUUCUAGAAAUGCGGAUGCUGUGGGAGGAAUGUGUGGUGUAGCGGUGAAAAUGCAUAGAUAUCACACAGAACAACCGAUUGCGAAGGCAUCUCACAAAUCCGUGAUUGACGCUGAGGCACGAAAGUGUGGGGAUCAAACAGGAUUAGAUACCCUGGUAGUCCACACUGUAAACGAUGAUAACUCGCUGUCGGCGAUACACAGUCGGUGGCCAAGCGAAAGCGAUAAGUUAUCCACCUGGGGAGUACGACCGCAAGGUUGAAACUCAAAGGAAUUGACGGGGGCCCGCACAAGCGGAGGAACAUGUGGUUUAAUUCGAUGAUACGCGAGGAACCUUACCCGGGCUCGAACGGCAAGUGAACGACACAGAGAUGUGAAGGUCCUUCGGGACACUUGUCGAGGUGCUGCAUGGUUGUCGUCAGCUCGUGCCGUGAGGUGUCGGCUUAAGUGCCAUAACGAGCGCAACCCUUGCCAUUAGUUACCAGCAUGUAAUGAUGGGGACUCUAGUGGGACUGCCACCGUAAGGUGUGAGGAGGGGGGGGAUGACGUCAAAUCAGCACGGCCCUUACGUCCGGGGCGACACACGUGUUACAAUGGUGGGUACAGAGGGCAGCUACCUGGUGACAGGAUGCAAAUCUCGAAAACCCAUCUCAGUUCGGAUCGGAGUCUGCAACUCGACUCCGUGAAGUUGGAUUCGCUAGUAAUCGCGCAUCAGCCAUGGCGCGGUGAAUACGUUCCCGGGCCUUGCACACACCGCCCGUCAAG
rnacentral:rRNA from 1 species